GCAGUGACAAGCUUUCCACUUUAUAGAUGGAUGUGAUGCACUACAGAGAUGAGCCCAAAUAUCAGCCCUUGGGAAGGAGAGCAGUGAUCCUUGUCUGGGCCCUGCCUGAGAGCCCUCCAGAGCUGUGAAUCAUCCCUGCGCAGAACUGGCAUCCUUAAAGGCCCAAAGAAAGAAAACUGAGAAGAAAGGCCUCUAAGGAUACUGGAACAGAAAGGAAAGCUGCUGUAACUCAGGGUGAGACCAGGCAGGGUGAAAUACCGGAAGGACAAUGUGAUUUUAAAUCCCUACCCUGGUCACAAGCAAAAUGGAGAACCUGACCAUUAAACUAAUGGCUGAAUUUCACCAGUCCCAGGACCUUCCACAGCCCUGUAGUCUUUGGAACAGCUGGUUUAAAAUGACCCAAGAGAUAGAUACAGUAUAAAAAUAGAGAGAAAGGGAUAUAAAAAUCAUAGUGCUAAUUUUAACCCUCUUUCACAAACUAAUUCAGGCAGCUAAUUAAACCAAAACUUUGAUGAGCUUCAAGUCUUUCAAUUAAUUCCAUCAGCUUCAUGCAAUAUUGCUUCAAAAAGCUCUGUGUAUUAGUAGGUGAAUCACUGCGAUUUGACAGAUUCCACAAAAUCAGGAGAAAGCCCCAGAGCUCUCCUAGAUGCAGGCACUAUUGCUGAGUACAGCCUUUGGGCAUCCGUAUGAUGGGUUUAUGGUAAUUGUGGCUGUUGAAGAGAUUGACCCAUGGAUAGAGUCAGGACUUGUCUACCGAGGGAAUUCUAUCAGCAGAAUUACAGUAGUCAAGUUAAAUGGUUGUAGUUGUAUCAGUGUAACUUCCUAUGUGGAUGUUCCUAUUCACAAAUGAGAUCACCUUUUAAUAUAAGUAACCUAAGCUACAUGACAAAAAGCCACUCGUACUGGCAUAAGAGCAUCCACACAGGGAAUUAUCCUAAUAUACCUAUACUAAUAUAAUUACAGGAGUGCAAUUUCCCCAUGUAGACAAGCAUUUCCUUCUUCAGCAUUAUCAUGACUGCACAGUCAU